CUCAGGAUGAACGCUAGCUACAGGCUUAACACAUGCAAGUCGAGGGGCAUCAGGAAGAAAGCUUGCUUUCUUUGCUGGCGACCGGCGCACGGGUGAGUAACACGUAUCCAACCUGCCCUUUACUCGGGGAUAGCCUUUCGAAAGAAAGAUUAAUACCCGAUAGCAUAAUGAUUCCGCAUGGUUUCAUUAUUAAAGGAUUCCGGUAAAGGAUGGGGAUGCGUUCCAUUAGGUUGUUGGUGAGGUAACGGCCCACCAAGCCUUCGAUGGAUAGGGGUUCUGAGAGGAAGGUCCCCCACAUUGGAACUGAGACACGGUCCAAACUCCUACGGGAGGCAGCAGUGAGGAAUAUUGGUCAAUGGGCGCUAGCCUGAACCAGCCAAGUAGCGUGAAGGAUGAAGGCUCUAUGGGUCGUAAACUUCUUUUAUAUAAGAAUAAAGUGCAGUAUGUAUACUGUUUUGUAUGUAUUAUAUGAAUAAGGAUCGGCUAACUCCGUGCCAGCAGCCGCGGUAAUACGGAGGAUCCGAGCGUUAUCCGGAUUUAUUGGGUUUAAAGGGAGCGUAGGUGGACUGGUAAGUCAGUUGUGAAAGUUUGCGACUCAACCGUAAAAUUGCAGUUGAUACUGUCAGUCUUGAGUACAGUAGAGGUGGGCGGAAUUCGUGGUGUAGCGGUGAAAUGCUUAGAUAUCACGAAGAACUCCGAUUGCGAAGGCAGCUCACUGGACUGCAACUGACACUGAUGCUCGAAAGUGUGGGUAUCAAACAGGAUUAGAUACCCUGGUAGUCCACAUAGUAAACGAUGAAUACUCGCUGUUUGCGAUAUACAGUAAGCGGCCAAGCGAAAGCAUUAAGUAUUCCACCUGGGGAGUACGCCGGCAACGGUGAAACUCAAAGGAAUUGACGGGGGCCCGCACAAGCGGAGGAACAUGUGGUUUAAUUCGAUGAUACGCGAGGAACCUUACCCGGGCUUAAAUUGCAGUGGAAUGAUGUGGAAACAUGUCAGUGAGCAAUCACCGCUGUGAAGGUGCUGCAUGGUUGUCGUCAGCUCGUGCCGUGAGGUGUCGGCUUAAGUGCCAUAACGAGCGCAACCCUUAUCUUUAGUUACUAACAGGUCAUGCUGAGGACUCUAGAGAGACUGCCGUCGUAAGAUGUGAGGAAGGUGGGGAUGACGUCAAAUCAGCACGGCCCUUACGUCCGGGGCUACACACGUGUUACAAUGGGGGGUACAGAAGGCAGCUACCUGGCGACAGGAUGCUAAUCCCAAAAACCUCUCUCAGUUCGGAUCGAAGUCUGCAACCCGACUUCGUGAAGCUGGAUUCGCUAGUAAUCGCGCAUCAGCCAUGGCGCGGUGAAUACGUUCCCGGGCCUUGUACACACCGCCCGUCAAGCCAUGAAAGCCGGGGGUACCUGAAGUACGUAACCGCAAGGAGCGUCCUAGGGUAAAACUGGU
rnacentral:rRNA from 1 species